GUGCUCGCUUCGGCAGCACAUAUGCUAAAAUUGGAACGAUACAGAGAAGAUUAGCAUGGCCCCUGCACAAGGAUGACACACAAAUUCAUAAAGUGUCCCAUAUUUUU
rnacentral:snRNA from 1 species